rnacentral:rRNA from 1 species
CUAUAGCACGAGGGAUCCACCUCUUCCCAUUCCGAACAGAGAAGUUAAGCCUCGUCACGCCGAUGGUACUGCGUAACAGUGGAAGAGUAGGUAGCCGCCGUCUUGAGAAAGGCGAAAGCCGAUGGAGAGGAGUCAGUCCGUAAGGGGUGAC